UUUUCCUGAACUUCGGUCUUCUGCAUUUUCUUGGAAAUUUUCACACCCCAGUCAAAGUCCCAAGGAUGGGCUUAAAGCCACCUGCAAGAUUCAUGCUUAUGCUUUUGGUUAUUCAUUUAGCUGUGGAUCAGAACUGAGGUAUCCAGUUGCUGCUUGGAUGAACUGAGUUGAGGGUUUCCACUGGGGACUGGAUCCUGCACUUUGUGGCACCACCUGUGGGUAAAAUCCCUGCUGGGUGCACACCAGUAAAUGACCUGGGAGGCAAGAGAAGCCGAGGUGGUACUGCCACAUUCUACCCCACCUCUCUUCUGCAGUUCCUAGACUGAGUAAAAAAUGCAGCUCCUUUUAUACAGUGCCACAUCCAAAAGGAAAAGUGUAAAACUUUACUGAAGUGGAAUUUAAUGAGCCACCCACAAAACACACCUGAGGAGGCCUGGGCAUUUCUAAUUUUCUAGCUCGGCUAAUUUUCUAGUCACCUGCUCAGUGUGGCUGCCACUGGUGCAGCUGAGCUUCUCCACUGCUGCUUCCUCAUAACCUCAGCCUGAAUUCACCUGGCUCAUCCCUGGUCAUCUGAGAGGUUUGGUUUCACAUGGAUACACUGAAUUCAGCACAGCAGUGCCAGAUCAAAUUUUCUCAAGGAUUUUCUGGUCUGUGGAUCUACUAGUAUGGGUUUCCAGUGACCAACUUCUAGCAAGACUCCACAGUUGCUCUGCUCUCAGCACUGCCUGAUAACAGGAGAUUUGUGAAGACAUCUCUGUGCAAAAAAAGAGGGCAGUGGACAGAAAGAAGCUUUUCACAGUGACUCAGAAUUAUAUCAGUGAAAAGGAUCAUUUCACGAAGAUGAGAACAUGGAUCAGCCAGGCACUUUCAAAACAAAGAACUGAAACAAACCAAUUAGAAGGGAGAAAUGUUACAUUGAGAGUAUCAUGGAAGAGAAAAAGUGUUCAUGUAACGGAAGUGUUAUGUGAUUUGAAAUAAUGCAGUGGCGCAUUUGACCCACUUCCCAGCUUUUGCUGAUGUUGAGAAAUCAACACAGGACCUCAGAAGAUUUGGUGAAGAGGUGAAUUUUGAAGAAAAAGCAACCUCUGACAUAAGUGGGCACUGGGACCAUGAGCAAGUCUUCACUGAGCAGUGGGCCUUGUGAAUAAGACAUGAAAAGAGGAUUGUGGAUCCUGAGUUGUAAAAUCCAGUCAGAUCAGGAAUUUAUUAACAGUGGAGUGAUGAAACCUGCUUUUCAUGUCUCAAGGCUGGUGUUUCCAGUGGAUUUCCCCAUGUGUCAUAAGGGUGAGAUAAGAUCCAUCUUCAUUCUUCCCUUUUGUAAGGAUACUACCUUCAGCCCAGAUACUUAUUUUCUGAAAAGUUCCAAACUAGAAACGUGUCUAUCUGAAACUGUUCAAUGGGCUCUGGGACUGUAGCUGGCAAUGCAGAACGAGCACAAACACCUGCAGAAUGUGUACUCAGCAACUUUGCACCUUUGGAGAACUGGCUAUAACGACAGAGCUACUAAAGAUCAGUAAAGGACCUAAAUUGAAAACAAAUUCUGAUGUCUUUUGAAUGAAUAUUUUUCCCUUUGAAAAGGCAGAAAAUACAAUGCACAUGCAUUGCCUGGAGAUUCAUGCGUGAAUCAGUGCUAAACGAGUGGAUGACAUUUAUUGUGGAAGUCUAACACAUUUUCUGUACAAUGAUAUCAGAGAGAGGGUUGCUGGUACAGCUCCACUGCUGCUGGGCAGUGCCAAAGUGCUAAUGCAAAGUCCUGCUGUGACCACUGGUGCCUCAAUAUACAGAAUCACAAAAUCACAGAGUGGGUCAGGUUGGGAGGGACCACAGGGGGUCAUCUGGUCCCACCUCCCUGCUCAAGCAAAGUCAUGGUAGAGGACAUGGCACGGGAUUGUGCCCAGACACUUCUUGAAUACCACCAGGAGGGACACUUCACAACCUCUCCGGGUAAUCUGUUUCAGUAGUCAGUCACACGCACAGUAGAGAUGUUCUUCCUCAUGUUCAGGUGAAACUUCCCACGCACCAACUUCUGCAAAUGAAGCUGGUGAAGUAUCUGGAGCGCAAGUCCAAUGAAGAGCAGCUGGGGGAGCUGGAAUUGUUUAGUCUGGAGAAAUGAAGGUUUACCAUGCUUUACAACUAUCUUGAAUAAGGCUGUAGAUCUGUAGAUAGGUGGGAGGUUGAUCUCUUCUCCCUGCUAACAAGUGAUAGCAUAAGAGGAAAUGGCUUCAACUGCACCAGUGGAGGUUUAAAUUGGAUAUUAAGAAAGAUUUCUUCAGUGAAAGGGUGGUCAAGGAUUUGAACAGGCUGCCCAUGGAAGUAACAGAAUCACUGUCCCUUGAAGUUAAAAAAGGUUUAAUGCUGGACUUGCAAGUGAUAGUUAACAGCUGGACUCAAUGAUCCAAGAGAUCCUUUCCACCCUCUAUGAUCCUGGGCUCUUAGGGAUGCACUGUUCUUGAGCUUGGAGGAAGUAGUGCUUGAAUAUUGACUAGCCAUCUUCCCUGCAGGGCUGGUUCCCAUGGGAUUCUGUGUGAUCUUCCAAGAAGGUCACUGAAAAUCAGCUCUCCUGAACUGCAGGGUUGCAUUCUUACUUGCUGCCCUUCCUCCCCCAUGCAAGAUACUGAAUCUCAUGGCGGUUGCAGCCAAGGCUGCCCCCAGCCCUCACAUCUGCAACAAAACCUUCCCUGUUUGGUAGUACGUGGUCAAACAGCUCGCCAUUACUCAUUUUUUCCUCCACCACCUCUGUCAGGAAGUAGUGGCCAACAAUUUCCAGAAACCUCCUGGACUCUUUGUGCUUUGCCAUGUUGUUCCUUCAGCAGACGUCAGGGUGGUUGAAGUCCCCCACAAGAGCCAUUGCCUGUGACUCUGUGGCUGCUUCCAGCUGUCCGUAAAUGGCCUCACCUACUUUCUCCCCAUGAUCAGAUGGCCUGCAGCAAACACCACACAGUCCCACCCUUACCAGUCUGCUCUUUAAACCCAGCCUAUAAACUCUUGACUUGCUCAUCAUCCACCCAAGACAGCUUGAUUCAAUCCAAGUGUUGAUUCAAUUCAAUCCUCGUCACAUAAAAACUCCAGCUCUGCCCCUCCCAGGUCUGGGUUUCCUGAACAGUGUGUGGCCCCUCACACAAGAUAGAGCAGCUCUAAACAACGACAGAUAGCCCUGUGCUUUAAAUGCCAAAGAAAUAGCUACACUAGAAUUCAUACUUUGCCCCACUGUUGUUAGCAACAGAAAGGUUUUGCUGCAAAAAUUAAAAUUAGCAUGGACACAGUCUGGUAGAAUUGUAUUUCUUCUGGUUUUGAGAAUGAUGUAAGUUCUCUUUAAAUGAUAGACCUACAACAUCAUAUUCAGAGAGGUUCUUAGCAUAAAAAAUAAAUACACACCAGUGCACAAUGCAUACAAGAGAAUUAGUUAGCUGACCAGUGCACAAUGCAUACAAGAGAAUUAGUUAGCUGACAUUUAUAGUAUAUAAUUAUGUGAACUUCAAUGAGCAAAUUCAGGUGCAUGUGUGUAAUGAAAAUGUGUUUAAAAAGCUUGGCCUCCUGUCAGUCUUCUUCUCCAGGGAAUGCAAUGGUAUAUCUGGAACAGCCAGGCUAAACAGUGGGGAAAUUGCUUUUCAAACUUGUGCUUGCAAAAAAUGUUUUUCCACGAUGUGCAAAUCAAUUUGCUUUUGGGGGUGCAAGGAUGCAAAAAAAAUGUUUUCCUUCAAAUGAAAAUUUUUUAAAAAGUGACUCUGCAGCAGACUAAUCAGUUUGCUAUCUAAAAUGUUUUGUUUCACGCCUGAUUUCUUUUCUAAAUGUAUAAAUACCAGCUAGUGUUUUAAAGCUUCUGUAACUGUGAAUGGCUCUGCUGUCCCUCACUGCAAGCUACAUUUUUAUUACUUCUUCCCAAGAAAUUUAUUUUGCUGACAUAGGCCCUAAUCCAGUAAAGUGUUAAAACAUAUGCUUAAUCUUAAGCGAGUUGAAUAAAGCCAACAAAACUUUCCUAUGCCUAAAUCUAAGUACAAAUUUGUGUUUGGCUUAGCUGGGGUUAUAGUUUCUGGGUUAUGGUUUAGAGGGC